CACGUAGGGCGCAAGCGUUGUCCGGAAUUAUUGGGCGUAAAGAGCUCGUAGGCGGUCUGUUGCGUCCGCUGUGAAAACUCGGGGCUUAACCCCGAGCCUGCAGUGGAUACGGGCAGACUAGAGGGAGGUAGGGGAGAAUGGAAUUCCCGGUGUAGCGGUGAAAUGCGCAGAUAUCGGGAGGAACACCGGUGGCGAAGGCGGUUCUCUGGGCCGAUACUGACGCUGAGGAGCGAAAGCGUGGGGAGCGAACAGG
rnacentral:rRNA from 1 species